rnacentral:rRNA from 1 species
GCGAAAGUUACGCUAAUACCGCAUACGAUCUAAGGAUGAAAGCAGGGGAUCUUCGGACCUUGUGCUCCUGGAGCGGCCGAUAUCUGAUUAGCUAGUUGGUGAGGUAAAGGCUCACCAAGGCGACGAUCAGUAGCUGGUCUGAGAGGACGACCAGCCACACUGGAACUGAGACACGGUCCAGACUCCUACGGGAGGCAGCAGUGGGGAAUUUUGGACAAUGGGCGAAAGCCUGAUCCAGCAAUGCCGCGUGAGUGAAGAAGGCCUUCGGGUUGUAAAGCUCUUUUGUCAGGGAAGAAACGGUGAAGGCUAAUAUCCUUCGCUAAUGACGGUACCUGAAGAAUAAGCACCGGCUAACUACGUGCCAGCAGCCGCGGUAAUACGUAGGGUGCAAGCGUUAAUCGGAAUUACUGGGCGUAAAGCGUGCGCAGGCGGUUUUGUAAGUCUGUCGUGAAAUCCCCGGGCUCAACCUGGGAAUUGCGAUGGAGACUGCAAGGCUAGAAUCUGGCAGAGGGGGGUAGAAUUCCACGUGUAGCAGUGAAAUGCGUAGAGAUGUGGAGGAACACCGAUGGCGAAGGCAGCCCCCUGGGUCAAGAUUGACGCUCAUGCACGAAAGCGUGGGGAGCAAACAGGAUUAGAUACCCUGGUAGUCCACGCCCUAAACGAUGUCUACUAGUUGUCGGGUUUUAAUUAACUUGGUAACGCAGCUAACGCGUGAAGUAGACCGCCUGGGGAGUACGGUCGCAAGAUUAAAACUC